rnacentral:rRNA from 1 species
GACGAACGCUGGCGGCGUGCUUAACACAUGCAAGUCGAACGAAGAGCGAUGGAAGCUUGCUUCUAUCAAUCUUAGUGGCGAACGGGUGAGUAACGCGUAAUCAACCUGCCCUUCAGAGGGGGACAACAGUUGGAAACGACUGCUAAUACCGCAUACGAUCUGACCUCGGCAUCGAGGAUAGAUGAAAGGUGGCCUCUAUUUAUAAGCUAUCACUGAAGGAGGGGAUUGCGUCUGAUUAGCUAGUUGGAGGGGUAACGGCCCACCAAGGCGAUGAUCAGUAGCCGGUCUGAGAGGAUGAACGGCCACAUUGGGACUGAGACACGGCCCAGACUCCUACGGGAGGCAGCAGUGGGGAAUCUUCCGCAAUGGACGAAAGUCUGACGGAGCAACGCCGCGUGAGUGAUGACGG